AAACAAGUCAGAAAAGUUUUUCCAAAAUCAAAACACUAGCCACACUGCUCACCUUUCCUUAACUACACGCUCCUUACCUUUCUCUCUUCCCCCAAAGACCCAACUUUCAGUGGUUACUCCAUAUUUUCAAAACAAAAAAUAAAUAGCUCAUGCCUUCAUCUUCUUCUUCUUUUAACUUCACAGAAAAUCUGCCUAUCAUUAUCGCCUAAAUUUCUGCUCAAACAAUUGGUCAAAGACCAGAAAAAAAGAUAAAAUUUGUGAAAUAUUUCGCACCUUCUGUCUGAUUUGCCUCAUAAAUGACUUUGAUUUCAUUUCAAAUCCAGAUUUUCAAGUUCAGAUUUUUUUUCACCUCCAAAGGGGAUCGGAGAACACACACUGGGAAGCAAUUCGAGAACUGAUUAAAAGCAGAGAAAUACACUUCAUAUAUUUCCUUUCCUUUAAACAUCUGAUUUCGAAAUUCUUAAUCUUAGAGUUUUCUAUUUUCGCUCCUUGAGUUCGAGUUCGAAAGAAAGUUCGAAGUUUGAAAACAUUGACCACAAAAUCCCCCUAGUUUGCUGCUCUGGAAAAGAGCACUGGAGUUUCUACUUUGGAACUCGGUUUUGGUCCAAAAUAUUGGACCAACAGCUAUUAGGAUCUUCACAACGCUCGGAGUCUCGUAAAUUAAGAGUCUAACGUUUAUUAGCCUUUGUUUUUACUACUUUGAUUAUAUUGUUUUGAUAUACUAACUCAUUCUUACAUAUGUUUGUAUACCUCUCAACUUUUUAUAUAUUAAUCUCUUUCCCCUUUUAUUUAAGUUCAUUUGUGUGAUACAAUAUUAUUUGUUAAUAAAUUUAAUAGUACGCUUGAGAAAGCCGCAUUUUAUCC